rnacentral:rRNA from 1 species
UACGUAGGGGGCAAGCGUUGUCCGGAUUUAUUGGGCGUAAAGAGCGUGUAGGCGGCUAGGUAGGUCCGUUGUGAAAACUCGAGGCUCAACCUCGAGACGCCGGUGGAAACCAUCUAGCUAGAGUCCGGAAGAGGAGAGUGGAAUUCCUGCUGUAGCGGUGAAAUGCGCAGAUAUCAGGAAGAACACCCGUGGCGAAGGCGGCUCUCUGGUACGUGACUGACGCUGAGACGCGAAAGCGUGGGGAGCGAACAGG